rnacentral:lncRNA from 1 species
UCGACAUUUUAAUUUUCAGUAAGCAAUUUAAGACAUGGACAUAAGUUCAAUUAGUAAUUUAAGACAUGGACCUAUGUUCAGUAGCCAAAAUUCGACAUUUCAAACUUCAUUAAUUAACCAAAGACAUGAAUCUAAGUUCAGUACGAUUGGAACAAUUAACUUCUAAAUUCAUCAAUACCAUCUUCGUCUCCAUGCCAGCAACUUCAUCUUCUCUUCUUCAUAUUCUUCUUCUACGCUACCUUCUACUUGUUCUUCUAGUAAUGAAUUAUAGCCUUCAAUGAUCUCCACUUUUGUGUCGGCCACUGGCACCAAAUCUUCCCCACCUUUUUACCGAGUUCUGAAUCCCCAACAGCAGAAACAACUAUAUCACCACCAUCUUCCACCUUCGCUUCCAGUUCAGUAUCCACCACUUUAUCUUUGCAUCAACAGCACUCUUUUCCAUCUUCCUCUUCCGCCGACUUUUCCUUUAUCACAACCAAUUCAUCUUUCACAUGCCAACUACUUAAAUUCGAAUCACCCAAUUCAGAAAAAAACCCACCCAUUCUGAAAGGAUCCCUUGAAACUGUUCUGGAAACCAAAGAAACGCUGUAUAUGAUUCAAGCCCAUAUGUGCAACAUACCCAUUUAUAGUCCCAAACCCACCAAUUGAACUAGGAGUGCUUGGCUUUAAUUUUCCUUUUGCUUGCGCUGGUGGUGCAAAUCUGGUUUGUUUUUGCAGUUGUUUUUGAGCGAAUUAGCAAAANN